CCGCUCGAGGUUCGGGGGGCAGACACACUCUCAACUUUCAAGAGUAGACUUAAAACGUUCCUCUUUGAUAAAGCCUAUAGUCAGGGCUGAUUUGAACCAGCUCUUAGUUAUGCUGCUAUAGGCCUAGACUGCCGGGGCUAUCUGGCACACUGAGCUAGAGUCUGUCUCUAUCUCCUCUUUAGAUCUUUAUGUCCCAUAUAAGUCACUGACCAGUUUUCUGUCUCUCUGAGUGUCUCUGAGUCUUUUAGCUGCCACUGGACUAAUGCUGCAAACAGGUCUGCUGCGGAACUGCCUGACCCCAGCUGCAUCCACCCUGGGCCCUGAGCUCCUCCAACUCUUUGGCUCUUUGGCUCCUCUGGACCGUUGCCGCAGACCUGAAGGUGGGUGUGAUCGACAAUGGUGUGAGGUGCCUGAGCCAACAAGCCCUGUUCACUGCACAGGCACAUGUUGUUUAAAUCAGAUAUGAACCCUGUCUCAGUUCUGAGGAAGCGAAAGUAAAACAGUUGUAACUCGGAGGUGAAAUGGCUCACAAGCUAAACCAAAUGGACCAAGAGAAACUCUGCUGUUUUAUCUGUCUGGAUUUACUCAAGGAUCCAGAGACUGUCAGAUGUGGACACAGAUUCUGCUUGGACUGUAUUGAAAGUUUCUGGGAUAAAGAGGAAGAAGGAGUCUACAGCUGUCCACAGUGCCAACAAAUCUUCAUACCGAGGCCUGUCCUGAGGAAAACCACCAUGUUGUCAGAUUUAGUGGAAGAACUGAAGAAGACUGGACUCCAGGAUGCUCCUUCUGAUCACUGCUAUGCUGGACCUGAAGAUGUGGCCUGUGACAUCUGCACCGUAAACAAAAUGAAAGCCAGCAAGUCCUGUCUGCAAUGCCUGAUUUCUUACUGUGAAGAUCACCUUCAGCCUCAUCUUGAACUACCUGUCUUUAAGAGACACAAGCUGGUAAAGCCCUCCGAGAAACUCCAGGAGAACAUCUGCUCUCAUCACGAUGAGGCGAUGAAGAUAUUUUGUCGUACUGAUCGGCAGUCCAUCUGUUAUCUCUGCUCUUUGGAUGAACAUAAAGAUCACGACACAGUCUCCGUUGCAGUAGAAAGAGCUGAGAGGCAGGAAGAGCUCGAGGUGAGUCGACAAAACAUCCAGAAAGGAAUCAAGGACAGAGAGAAAGACGUAAAGCUGCUUCAGCAGGAGGUGGAGGCUAUCAAUCAGUCUGCUGAUGAAGCAGUGGAGCACAAUGAGGAGAUCUUCAAUGAGCUAAUCUGUCUCAUAAAGAAAACACGCUCUGAUAUGAGGCAGCAGAUCAAAUCCCAGCAGGAAACUGAGGUGGGUCAAGUCCAAGAGCUUCAGGAACAGCUGGAGCAGGAGAUUGCUGAGCUGAAGAGGAAAGACACUGAGCUGGAGAAGCUGUCAUUGACAGACGAUCACAUCCAGUUUCUACAUGACUACCCCUCACAGUCAGCACUCAGUGAAUCGACACACUUAUCCAGCAUCAAUAUCCGUCCUCUGAGGUACUUUGAGGACAUGAAAGCAGCUGUGGCGGAGCUCAGAGAUCAACUUCAGGAGGUUCUGAAGGAGAACUGGUCAAACGUCUCACAGACAGUGACCGAAGUGGAUGCUUUACUCUCACAAUCAGAGCCCAAGACCAGAGAGGAGUUCUUAAAGUAUUCCUGCGACAUCACACUGGACCCAAACACAGCACACACACAGCUGGUGUUAUCUGAUGGGGACAGAAAAGCAGCAUUCAUGGAAGAACAACAGUCUUAUUCCAGUCACCCGGACAGAUUCACUGUUUGGAUUCAGGCCCUGAGUAAAGAGAGUCUGACUGGACGUUGUUACUGGGAAGUGGAACGCAUAGGAGGAGUUUACGUUGCAGUCGCAUACAAGAAUAUCAGCAGAGCAGGGAACUCCAAUGAAUGUGGAUUUGGACGCAACACCAAAUCUUGGGCUUUACAUUAUCACAAAAACAGCUACAGAUUUUUGCACAACAAUGAAAUCACUCCAGUCUCAGGUCCUUGGUCCAACAGAAUUGGUGUGUACUUGGAUCACAGAGAAGGUGUUCUGUCCUUCUACAGUGUCUCGAAAACCAUGACUCUUCUCCACAGAGUCCAGACCACAUUCACUCAGCCUCUCCUGGCUGGACUCAGGAUUUAUUCCUUUAUGUUUGGGAAAGCCACAGCUGAGUUCUGUCAGCUGGAAUAGACGAGUGCCACUAUUUCUGGGACAGUGGGUUCAAUUGAAUGUUUUAAACUAUGUUUGUCCAAGUACAGUCAAAGCUUAAGGGUGGUACUGUGACGUCAAACCAACUACAGUUGUGUAAUAAGUUUUACUUAAGUUGACACUCCCUCCUUUAUCUCUUAUGCAAUGCAGGCUGUCGCUGCUCAUUAUAAUGUUUUAUGAACAGACAGAAUAUGUAAACCUUUAUGGUCUGGGUUGUGGGUAGGUAUUUGUGUUGAUGUACUAGUAAGAUGUCAUUCCUCUUCUUCUAAGUGAGUGUUAGGGAAAAAAAAAGCAGAAGACCUUCACAUGCAAAAUCAAAGCUAACCUGGUGUUCAAUCUACAGAGGGAAGAGUGUUUGACUCACAAAUCCUGAACUGAGGUGUUGACAGGUUUGAUGUCGGAAAUGUUUGAAACUCUUCUUUCUGUCCUCUUUUUUCUGUUGUAUGAAAUGGUUUGAACUUGUUUGUGUGCUUCUUGUUUAAAUCUAGUUGCAAAACUUUUUAAACUUUUUGUAAAAAGGGGGUGAUAAUAAUACUAUAUUUUUUCAUUAAAUUUAUCAUUGGGAUUUUUUGGGUUGUUUCAAUUAAUCUUCUUUGUAUAUUUGGGUACAUUUAACAGGCAGAAACCUUAAGCAGAACCAAACUCAAGUAACAUAGAUAUCUCAUAAGACUGCCCUGGGUUUAGAGAUGGGAUAGAGGGAGAUACAUAAAAGGAAGGGAUGGACAGAGGUGAGGUUGAUGCAUGUAGUUAAAGCAGCUGGAAAGCAUGUGGAAUCAUGGCAGUAAAACGUCUGCAGCUGCUAUCCAGAGGAACCUGCAGCAUGAUGGAGCACAGAGACUCUCAGAAAAAAACUAAGUAUUAGUUAUUCUAAUGGGACAUGAUUAUUCACAUAUAAUAUACAACCCCAAGCCUGUCAGAGUUGGGAUGUUUAAAAUGUUCAUAAAAACAGAUUUUAGGAUUUUUUCAAAAACAUGUUAAAUUCCAUUAAUAAAAAGGUACAUCUUGCCAAAUUUGCACAGUUAUUUACAAAAAUGAUGAUGAUAGUAAAACCUUGUGAAAGUCAUAGAUUAAUACUUCUUAUUCAAACUCUCCUCACUGGGGAAGCAGGAUUAUCAAAUAAUUCUAAUAGAAAGUGCAGCAAGAAUCUUAAUAUGGUUAACUGUGAGGAAUCAUUGUGACACAUUGUGUAUAAAAUCCACGUGAUUGUUGUUGAUUUCAUUAAAUAUUUGACACCAUCAUUUAUUUUUACUGUCUUAAUUUAUUGUCCUGGCUUAUUGUUCUUAAUUAUCAUCCUCAAUUUUUUGAUAAAUCUGAUUGAGACAGUCAAUUGUGUGUGGUGAGAGAAAACACACAGUUUUUAUGAUUUCUUUUUUCUAUAAUAAUAUUUUUCCUGCUUUCUAAGUCUUGAUUGUAAAAAUGACUGUAGUACAACUCUAGAUGUCGCUGUUGUUACACGGAUACAUUAUAGCCUGCUGCCAGUGAUGGGCACGGCAGUUCUUUUAGAUGUACUGAAUCACUAGAAUCAGUUCACUUAAAGGAUUCGUUCAAAAGAUUUGUUCACCAAAUCACCAGCUCAUGUAGCGCUUGGCGGGAGAAGCCUGCGACUCCGACCUCCUGAACUGAUACACAGCUGAACGGUUCAGGAUUCAGUUUCUGGGACCAGGAGACGAGAGUGUUUGGCUGUGCUGCUUUGACAAACAGGUUUGUAAGAAUGAACUUGUUUACAAGGGUCCUUACACACUGGGACCGUUUUUGUCCUGCGAUUAUUUCGGACGUCAAUAUUUUUUUUCCAACCCGUAUCCUGUCAAUACAAGUGAUCACAUCAGCGACGUUUUCCCAUCCUGCAAUAUUGCGACAUUUAUUUUUUCAGAUCACAGUCGAUUUUUUCUGAAGUUUCGCAUACUGUGUGUCCACUUCUGACCAAUCAGAUUGCAUGUUGUUGUGACGUCAGAUUCACCGGUAUUUCCAAUAUAGCUGAUCGGCUGAUUGUUUACGUGUUGGAGAACAGAGUGCUUUUUGAUAGAAGAUACAAACAUUACAAAGAUAACGACCUGAAGGAUAGUUUGUGGAGAGUCAUAGCGUUGGAUUUCUCAUAUGACGAUGGUUUGUGUGCUUUAACAGUUUCCUAAACGUCUUUGUUUUAACUUUCAUCUUUGCCAACGUAAGCUAAUGGUUGUUACCGUAGUUUCAUGUGCUUAUCUUAUCGUCUCUGAUUGGCUAUAAGUGCUGACCAUUUGGCUUGGGCGAGUGAUGACGUAUCCAGCUUUUCUAGCCAAUCAGAGGGAAAGGAGGCAGGACUUUCCCCAGGAAAAGUCUUCCCCAGGAUGCGUCUUUUUCCCUCAGAAAUCGCAAAAUCGCAUCGAGCUUGAUGUGUAUAGUCAGGCGCAUCAAAAUUCUCCGAAGGAAUAUUAAUAACAGGUUUAAUGCACUACUUGUUACAUGCUGUGUCCUAUUAUAUGUAAGUUGUUGUGGUGGCAAUUCAGCAGUAAAAAAAAAAUUUUUUUUUAGUUUUGUCUGGCAAAAAUAAUUCCAGAGGGUGUGGUUUAAUGCGUGAUUUGUUCACCAAGUGAUUCAGGUGUCGGUGCAUGUGGUCCCUUGUUCGCCGGCUGCUCGACUGGCAAUGCUGUUUCUCACUGUAGCUUAACUGAAGUGAGAAAUGAACAAAUCACUCGAGGAAGUGAUUCGGUUCAGUACGGUCACUUAAAAGAUUUGGUUUCUUUGAACGAAUCGUUCACGAACGAAACAACACUACCUGCUGCUAAUUAUGGCAUGGCGGAUAUUAAAACUCUGGGAUUGAGGGUGGUAUGGUAGUCUGUAGUUUUCUCAGUGCUGUAAUUAGUCCAGUAAGUGUUGUUUACUGUAGGCCUGAAUGUAACACACCGCACGCGCCAAACACUUGCAACUCACCACAAAACCCAUUUCAAGCCAAAAAUGUCAAAGGAAUUUUUAAAAUAAUAUCAGCAAUAAUACUUCCAUUUUUGUACAGUCGGUGCAACUCUACUAUACGUCCAUGAAAAGAUUAUAAUUAAAAAAAAUGCCAUUAAUUUUUUGAUAGAACGAAUCGCGAAAAAUGUGAUAUGAAAAUGUUU
rnacentral:lncRNA from 1 species